rnacentral:lncRNA from 12 species
AGGGACAAAUGUGGAAAGCAGGAGAUGAGAAGUGAAGAAAAAGCCAGUGUCUACUAGAGGACAUCAGAAAUUGAGGGAAAGGCCCUCACUAUUCCAGAUAUGUGAUCCAGGUGCCACCAGGCUGGCUGGGGAGAAGGGACAAGAAGGAGCUGGGGGCCUGGACAAUUUCUCCCAGAUGAAGGCAUAUGUAAUACAGCAAGGAGAUUUUGGAAGAUAGGAGUGGCCUCAGAGCCAGUGUCUCUCUGAAGAUUGUCCCAACUAUGUCAGGAUGUACAAGAGAUAAGUUGCUGGAAUAUGAGAAGUGUUCAUUAAAUGGUAGUGGAAAAAUUCAAUGGACUACUAAAGAACUUUGAAUAAAAAAAAUAACUUUGAAUGAGAUCA